CAGCUUCUUGCUCAUCCUUAUUGGGAGAACUGCACCGUUACUUUAAAAAUACACACACACAAAAACCUUAAGGGAGAAAGCAGGUAAUUGCUGCCAUGGAAACACAACUGUCUAAUGGGCCAACUUGCAAUAACACAGCCAAUGGUCCAACCACUGUAAACAACAACUGCUCCUCACCAGUUGACUCCGGGAACACAGAGGACAGCAAGACCAACCUAAUAGUCAACUACCUUCCUCAGAACAUGACACAGGAAGAACUAAAGAGUCUUUUUGGGAGCAUUGGCGAGAUUGAGUCCUGUAAGCUUGUAAGAGACAAAAUAACAGGGCAGAGCUUGGGUUACGGCUUUGUGAACUACAUUGAUCCCAAGGAUGCAGAGAAAGCGAUCAACACUCUGAAUGGAUUGAGACUU
rnacentral:lncRNA from 1 species